GGCUGGUUUUGAACUCCUGACCUCAAGUGAUCUGCCCGCCUCGGCCUCCCAAAAAACGCAGUGUUUAUGUGAUGCUCCUCUGUGGUGUUUGCAAGAUUUAUACAAAAUUGCGGUUUCUUUUUUUCUCUAGGACGUCUGCUCACUGGAGAUGACACGUGCGUGGGGUGUUGGGUAAGUUGGUGCAUUGGAGCUGGAACAGGGUCAAUCCUCCAAUGUAACUAAGCCCUCCUGUGCAACAUCUUAAGUGACUGGAGGGACCAGUCGGUCUUGUGUUCACAUUGAGGCUAGAAGCUGUCUCCAGGGGAGUAAAAACGGAUUAUUUAGUCUUCAACAGGACACUGCCCCUAGAGGCGUUGCAGCUGUGGCUGCCGUGUCACAUCUGUGUCAUUAGGUGGCAGAGAUUAGAGAGGCUAUGUCUACGCUCAGCGUUCUGCCCCGUGAACGUUUGAAUGUUUGAUAGUCUCACACUCCUGUUUUGUGGACAGGCAUCUGUUUUCCUUCGCUGGUAUCUGGGAGAGAGGGUGGGCCCUGUGAGUGGGCUUUCUAACUCUCGCGCUGGGCUAGGCUGGCCUCUAGGGGUCUGAAGGGAUAGUGGGAAGGUGGAGGGUGCCUUCACCAGGAGCAGCCUUCAUGAGUGAGUUUUAAGAACCUGUGAGGAUCGGUCAGGUCAGGUGAGGUACGCGCUGGAUCAUGCCGUACACCGUGUCAGGAUCACGCAGGACAGGACUGGGGAAGGGUUUGCUGGCGUCUCGGUUAAUAGCAGUAACGGCAGCCGCUUGUGUUCUUGAUUCUUUGCCAAGCAUUCUUGUUAUUUAACACGGGAAGGAGGUGACUUCGCCUGUGAUGGACUUCCAGUGUGAGCACUGGCCAGAGUGACCAGGCUGACCAGCACCAGCCCUGAUCCAGAUGCAGAGGCCAGGAUGUGGGCCCAGCCCUGUGCCAGGAGGCUGGCUGGAAUAAAGGUACAGAUAGAGGCCUCACCCCCUCUGGGACCACUGGCACUCAGGGUGUUUGCAGCCUCAGAGCCCACCUGCCCCCAGGGCCACAGCUGCAUCUCCUGCCCUGCUGUCAUUACAGGGAUGGGCAGGCUGGCAUGGGGGCAGCCGCUGCCCCUGCCUGGGUGUUGCUGUGUAUUCCUGCCGGCCAGGGGCCACUGCCAGGACCACGCCUCCCUUUUCAUAUCCCGAUUCUUAAGUUCUGCUAUUGUGGUAUUCUGGUGGAGAAAAAAGAACCGCGUGGCUGUUUUUGAACUGCCUGGAACCUAAGACCCUGAAUUCUUUUCCCCCCCAAGGGGAAAAUCUAUAUGGAAAACAUUUAUUUUAAAAUACAGGAUGAAGUGAAUUAAAAGAUUUAAAUGCACAUUUCUUUAAGGAUAAUAUUUCUGUGUUGGCAAAAUUUGAGAGUAAAUUGGUCUUGAAUGGAAUGGAUUGUCUUGACUCACACAUUGCGGAGCAGAGCCCGCCCUGAAGAAAGGUGUUGCUGUGGUGGGAUCUUCCCACGAGGGUCCUUGCCUGUUCUCCUAGGGGAUGGUUGCUGGGUGCCCUGGGCUACUGGGGAGAGCGUACGGGGCUGGAGAAGAUGGCCAUUCCUGGGCUGUUUCCUAGGGAAUG
ensembl:lncRNA SNHG7 small nucleolar RNA host gene 7